AGAAUCAACGCUGGCGGCGUGCCUAACACAUGCAAGUCGAACGAGAAAGGGUAGCAAUACCUGAGUAAAGUGGCGCACGGGUGAGUAACACGUGACUAACCUACCCUGGAGUGGGGGAUAACUGAGGGAAACCUUAGCUAAUACCGCAUAAUACCUACGGGUCAAAGGAGCAAUUCGCUUUGGGAGGGGGUCGCGGCCGAUUAGUUAGUUGGCGGGGUAAUGGCCCACCAAGACAGUGAUCGGUAUCC
rnacentral:rRNA from 1 species